rnacentral:misc_RNA from 1 species
GAUGAAGAACGUAGCGAAAUGCGAUAAGUAGUGUGAAUUGCAGAAUUCAGUGAAUCAUCGAAUCUUUGAACGCACAUUGCGCCCCUCGGUAUUCCGUGGGGCAUGCCUGUUCGAGCGUCAUUUACACCCUCAAGCUCUGCUUGGUGUUGGGCGUCUGUCCCGCCUCCGUGCGCGGACUCGCCUCAAAGUCAUUGGCAGCGGUCUCGUCGGCUUCUCGCGCAGCACAUUUGCGCUUCUUGGAGCCCCGGCGGAUCAGCGUCCAGCAAGCAAUUUCGUGACUUGACCUCGGAUCAGGUAGGGAUACCCGCUGAACUUAAGCAUAUCAAUAAGCGGAGGA